CCUACGGGGGGCAGCAGUGAGGAAUAUUGGUCAAUGGACGAGAGUCUGAACCAGCCAAGUAGCAUGAAGGAUGACUGCCCUAUGGGUUGUAAACUUCUUUUAUAUGGGAAUAAAAUGUUCCACGUGUGGGAUUUUGUAUGUACCAUAUGAAUAAGGAUCGGCUAACUCCGUGCCAGCAGCCGCGGUAAUACGGAGGAUCCGAGCGUUAUCCGGAUUUAUUGGGUUUAAAGGGAGCGUAGGUGGAUUGUUAAGUCAGUUGUGAAAGUUUGCGGCGCAACCGUAAAAUUGCAGUUGUAACUGGCAGUCUUGAGUACAGUAGAGGUGGGCGGAAUUCGUGGUGUAGCGGUGAAAUGCUUAGAUAUCACGAAGAACUCCGAUUGCGAAGGCAGUUCACUGGACUGCAACUGACACUGAGGCUCGAAAGUGUGGGUAUCAAACAGGAUUAGAUACCCUUGUAGUC
rnacentral:rRNA from 1 species